AUACGGAGGGGGCAAGCGUUGUUCGGAGUCACUGGGCGUAAAGAGCUCGUAGGCGGCAGUGUAAGUCGGGAGUUAAAGGCAACAGCUUAACUGUUGUAAGGCUUCUGAAACUACAUUGCUAGAGUACCAGAGAGGUAAGCGGAAUUUCCUGUGUAGCGGUGAAAUGCGUAGAUAUAGGAAGGAACACCGGUUGCGAAGGCGGCUUACUGGCUGGUAACUGACGCUGAGGAGCGAAAGCGUGGGUAGCAAACAGGAUUAGAUACCCUGGUAGUCCACGCUGUAAACGAUGGGUGCUAGGUGUUGGAAGUAACCACUUUCAGUGCCGAAGCUAACGCAUUAAGCACCCCGCCUGGGGAGUACGUACGCAAGUAUGAA
rnacentral:rRNA from 1 species